UGUCAGCCCACAUGAUGAAGUGCGUUUCAUUUUCAAUGCACUCAGAGGAGUUCAGAAGACGUCCCGAGAACAAUAGUGAUGAUGCGUAAAAUGGCAGCAACAAAUAUUUCCUAUAAGUUUGUUCUGUUCCUUCAACUUUUCAACCUUGCAGUGGCGAAACAAGGGUCCUGCUAUAACAUCAGUGUUUGGAACAUCGGAGUGUUCGUGGCUGCAGACGUGCUGCUGACACUCUGUCUUGUCAUCGCCACGUUUAUGUGCGCCGUUCGUCGCCGGAAGAGGAUAGCGUCCGACCAGAAGGUGUACAUGAAUGUCAGGCCACAGUUGAGAUCUAAGUGAGCGGUUUCAGAUGUUAUCCUGAAAGGUUGUUUCCUACAGAUCCAGAAAUCGAUCAAAUCUGUUCAUUUAAAUAUUAAAGCUUAGGUAAAUGUUUUUAUAUAUGUUUUAAAAAAAAUUGUCUUGGAAGUUUGUUUGCAGUGAAACUUUGAAUACAGACCUUCAAUUUGUUUCAUCUCCUUGACUGAAUAAAACAACCCAGAAUUUGUACACGCUCUCCCAUUCUUCG